rnacentral:rRNA from 1 species
CCUACGGGUGGCAGCAGUGAGGAAUAUUGGUCAAUGGGCGGGAGCCUGAACCAGCCAAGCCGCGUGAGGGAAGAAGGUACAGCGUAUCGUAAACCUCUUUUGUCAGGGAACAAAGGCGGGGACUAGUCCCCGGAUGAGGGUACCUGAAGAAAAAGCAUCGGCUAACUCCGUGCCAGCAGCCGCGGUAAUACGGAGGAUGCGAGCGUUAUCCGGAUUUAUUGGGUUUAAAGGGUGCGAAGGCGGCGUGUUAAGCUGGCGGUAAAAGCCCGGGGCUCAACCCCGGCGAGCCGUGGGAACUGGCGGGCUGGAGUGGGAGGAAAGUACGCGGAAUGCGCGGUGUAGCGGUGAAAUGCUUAGAUAUCGCGCAGAACCCCGAUUGCGAAGGCAGCGUACGGGAGCGACACUGACGCUGAGGCACGAAGGCGUGGGGAUCGAACAGGAUUAGAUACCCGAGUAGUC